ACUAUAAUCAGCGAUUUGCACGUUUAGGCUGUAGGAGGUUGCUCAUCAAAUGUGAUGGCUGGCUCGGCCUCCACAAGGCUGUUGCUACUUGUCAUACUGGCUGGUGCAAUUAAUGGAUCCUUCACAAAGAAUGCUUUGGAUCCUGUUGGGGCUUCUGGUACGAACCGUUUUUCGUUCCAGUUGGGGGGAACCUGGCCCUGAAUAUGUCGCUGAAGACUCUGCUUUCUCAAGUGCGCCAAAGCGAGCUGCACAGCUUUACACAGAUAAGCAACCUAGAUGCACUCAUCCUAGUGCUCAGACCAGGUCCUGCUCUCUACGGGUCUGAUGUGUAUAUAUAUCCAGGACAUCACGGAUUCCCUACCUCACCAAACCAAGUUCAGUGGGCGGUCGAUCCCCCCAAUCCUUUCUUUGGUAAAAUUUCCCCUCUGGUUGAGUCGAGCUUCGUCUCUGGAAGUCCCGGCUACGUGAGCCCUCCAGGGCCAUUUCCCAUGUUCCAGCCAGAGGAAGCUUCUUAUGAGGAGAGGACCUAUAAUCAAGGAGACCAUGACUCUGAAGACAGAGGCCCUCCUCCCCAGUACCUUCCUGUCCUGCCUCUAAAUGAAUUCACCAUAGAUAGACGGACUUCGACAUGGUUAUCCUCUACUUGAGUACAUGUUGCUGAGUAGGAGGUAUCCUCCAGGCAUGUACACGUUUUCCACCGCUCAACUUGACCAUAGACGAAACCAGAGGCAUGACAGUAGCCAGGUUGGUGAUCCUUACAUUUACAGUCAAACCUACCCAAAUCGUAAAAGGCACCCUCCUCAACAGAACAUUUGAAAGGCUGGAUACAGUGUUCACUAAUAUUUUAGCUGAGUCUCUAAUGGUGCUGACCUGCAGGAAGACCCCCCUAAUGCCAGGUUGUUGGCUAAGGCAACCAACUCGCUCUGCUGAAAGAUUGUUUAACCCUUUGGCAACCGGGAUUUUAAUUUGUUUUCUGAAACUACUACUUGACCCUGGAUUCUGUUAAACUCAGCUGACUGCUUCAGGCUUUUGUCACUGCUUCAAUAAAAAUCUAUAGCUUU